CUUAAUGUUCUUGAUCUAUACCAGUGUUUUCGAAUUUUUUUUUUUCAGUAACGGAACACUUUACACAUUUUGAGUAUUUAGAGGGACACUUUGCUUACUUUUAUAGAUGUUUCCUUCUAGUUAAUCUUUUACAGUUGUUUGAGGAAACACAUAUUCAACCCUCGCACAACACCAGAGUUUCGCAGAGUACAGUUUGGGAAACACUGAUCAAUACAUGAUUUGGUAUGCAUUCAUCUUUGAAAUUUUAAUACUAGCAAGACACCGGGCAGUGACAUAAAUAAUAUCAAAUGAGUCACAACUGGCAAAUGACAAUGACAAUGAAACCCGAUCAAUGACAAUGUUAUCGAAGGAUUAACAUGGUCACUUCUAAACCUACAAACCGAUACCAUUACUAGCACUGGUAAGUAAAAACAGAAACUAAUACCUCGGAAUUAUCUAUGGGAGUAAAGCUAUGGAUGUUCACUAGCUAAAAGACAACAGAAACAGAAGGUCUACACAUCAUAUGCCCAACAUGCUCAUUUCAUUGUAUCAUUUCUUUUAUCCUGGGAUGGAUAUUUAUCUUGUACUGAAGUCAACUGUAGAUGUUUGUUAGAUUUAACUCAAUUACUCAGCAAGCAUUUUGUUGUUUUUUUUCGGGGUGUAUUCAAUGUAGUUGAACAACAGUACAAAGAUAACACACAUCUAUUUUUUAACUAGUGAAAAGAUGUGGUCAAAACUGAUGAACAAUGAAUAAUACGUUUAAUCUAAUAAAAGGCCACAAUAAAAGUCUCUUGUCAAAUAAAACACGUCUUUAUCCUAGAGAAUUCUAUUGCUAACUGAUUUUCCAGUCUCUAACCCAAAAUAUCCCAAGCGCCACUAGUCCCGUUCAGUAUACAUCUUCUAUGGUACGUCUCUAACUAAUAAUAUAAACUAGGUGCCUAACAAUCCACCCUGAUAUACGGAGAGGUGGCUGAUUGCCCUACAUCUAGUAAUAUACAUUGCGUAUACAGAAUUGGUCUUUUUUUAUUUAGAAUCACAUGGGAACGAUAGAGAGACUAAACAAAUACUACUGACUAGAUCAUGAUCUGAGGAACACUUUUGCCAAGUUUAAUCAAGAUUUGUCAAACUAGGUUGAAUUUUAAUAAGGAGCAUGCUAACAUUUUUAAAUCACUUUUGUAUCACGUCUGUCUCUUGACUUUCGCUGUUAGGAUGCUGUGACAGUUCGCGUAAACAAAUGCCUUCACUUUUUUUCCGGUCAGCAGCCGUUAUUUUAGCAGAAUAUAGUAAUAGAUACAAGACGGAAAGAGUAAAGAUGUAGACAUAAAAGAGAUAGUACAACUAGGUGAUAAGAUAAUAAGAGAUAGUACAACUAGGUGAUAAGAUAAUAA